GAUGAACGCUGGCGGCGUGCCUAAUACAUGCAAGUCGAGCGAACAGACGAGGAGCUUGCUCCUCUGACGUUAGCGGCGGACGGGUGAGUAACACGUGGAUAACCUACCUAUAAGACUGGGAUAACUUCGGGAAACCGGAGCUAAUACCGGAUAAUAUAUUGAACCGCAUGGUUCAAUAGUGAAAGACGGUUUUGCUGUCACUUAUAGAUGGAUCCGCGCCGCAUUAGCUAGUUGGUAAGGUAACGGCUUACCAAGGCAACGAUGCGUAGCCGACCUGAGAGGGUGAUCGGCGACACUGGAACUGAGACACGGUCCAGACUCCUACGGGAGGCAGCAGUAGGGAAUCUUCCGCAAUGGGCGAAAGCUUGACGGAGCAACGCCGCGUGAGUGAUGAAGGUCUUCGGAUCGUAAAACUCUGUUAUUAGGGAAGAACAAAUGUGUAAGUAACUAUGCACGUCUUGACGGUACCUAAUCAGAAAGCCACGGCUAACUACGUG
rnacentral:rRNA from 1 species